UACGGGGGGGAGCAAGCGUUGUUCGGAUUUACUGGGCGUAAAGGGCGCGUAGGCGGCCACCGCAAGUCGACUGUGAAAUCUCCGGGCUUAACCCGGAAAGGUCAGCCGAUACUGCGGGGCUAGAGUGCAGAAGGGGCAACUGGAAUUCUCGGUGUAGCGGUGAAAUGCGUAGAUAUCGAGAGGAACACCUGCGGCGAAGGCGGGUUGCCUGGGCUGACACUGACGCUGAUGCGCGAAAGCUAGGGGGAGCGAACGGG
rnacentral:rRNA from 1 species